GAUGAACGCUGGCGGCGUGCCUAAGACAUGCAAGUCGAGUGGGUUUAGACCCACGGCGAACGGGUGAGUAAUACCUAGGAACUUUCUUUAAGUGGAGGAUAACCAGCCGAAAGGUUGGGAUAAUACUUCACGUGGCAGUAAUGCUAAAGUCGCAAGACGCUUAAAGUGAGGCCUGGGCACCAUCAGCUAGUUGGUAAGGUAAUGGCUUACCAAGGCUAUGACGGUUAGGGUCCCGAGAGGGAUAACCCCCACACUGGAACUGCGACACGGUCCAGACUCCUACGGGAGGCAGCAGUUUGGAAUUUUGGACAAUGGGCGAAAGCCUGAUCCAGCGACGCCGCGUGGACGAUGAAGGCCUUCGGGUCGUAAGUCCUUUUGCUCGGGAACAAUAUUUUGAGUCGUACCGAGAGAAUAAGAGGUUG
rnacentral:rRNA from 1 species